AUGCACGCUGGCGGCGUGCCUAAUACAUGCAAGUCGAGCGAACGGACGAGAAGCUUGCUUUUCUGAUGUUAGCGGCGGACUGGUGAGUAACACGUGGAUAACCUACCUAUAAGACUGGGAUAACUUCGGGAAACCGGAGCUAAUACCGGAUAAUAUUUUGAACCGCAUGGUUCAAAAGUGAAAGACGGUCUUGCUGUCACUUAUAGAUGGAUCCGCGCUGCAUUAGCUAGUUGGUAAGGUAACGGCUUACCAAGGCAACGAUGCAUAGCCGACCUGAGAGGGUGAUCGGCCACACUGGAACUGAGACACGGUCCAGACUCCUACGGGAGGCAGCAGUAGGGAAUCUUCCGCAAUGGGCGAAAGCCUGACGGAGCAACGCCGCGUGAGUGAUGAAGGUCUUCGGAUCGUAAAACUCUGUUAUUAGGGAAGAACAUAUGUGUAAGUAACUGUGCACAUCUUGACGGUACCUAAUCAGAAAGCCACGGCUAACUACGUG
rnacentral:rRNA from 1 species